rnacentral:lncRNA from 1 species
GGGGCCAGGGGGUCUGGUUUUAUAGUCCCUUCAAGUGAAUCUGGGCCGUUGGAUCAAACCGACAUUGAUCGUGUGGUUUUCCUUGAAGUAUUAGGUCGGUGGAGCACGAUCCUCGAACUUCACCCUGAUUGGUGGAAAGAGGUGGGCGGGCGCCCUCAGGACUAGGGCGGGCGCCCAGUGCCUGAGCCCUCUCGGCCUCCGCUUCGGUCCCGUGGCUUCUGGAGUCUUCUAGAUGGUAGAUAAUUGUGC